GGGCAGGACGGUGGCCAUGG
rnacentral:misc_RNA from 1 species